rnacentral:rRNA from 1 species
GUGGGGAAUAUUGGGCAAUGGGCGCAAGCCUGACCCAGCAACGCCGCGUGAAGGAAGAAGGCUUUCGGGUUGUAAACUUCUUUUACCAGGGACGAAACAAAUGACGGUACCUGGUGAAUAAGCCACGGCUAACUACGUGCCAGCAGCCGCGGUAAUACGUAGGUGGCGAGCGUUAUCCGGAUUUAUUGGGUGUAAAGGGCGUGUAGGCGGGACAGCAAGUCAGAUGUGAAAACCAGAGGCUCAACCUCUGGCCUGCAUUUGAAACUGUUGUGCUUGAGUGUCGGAGAGGUAAUCGGAAUUCCGUGUGUAGCGGUGAAAUGCGUAGAUAUACGGAGGAACACCAGUGGCGAAGGCGGAUUACUGGACGAUAACUGACGCUGAGGCGCGAAAGCGUGGGGAGCAAACAGGAUUAGAUACCCUAGUAGUCC